GAAUGAUGACUACCACUGAGUAGGUGCUUCCUAAGCACUGGUAGUAUUCAUGAUUCAGCAUGGGAAUUUUUUUAAUUUUUAUUUUUGGAAUUCUAGCUGUCAGCUCCAAGUGGUCUUUUAGAAAAUGUUUUGAAGUGAACAGUGGUGCUGCCCUUCAGCCUCAGCUCUCUGUUCAUGUGAAGUUCAUCUCCAUGCAAGGAGAUGAGUAUGGGCAGGGAGGGCUCUCCUGAGAAUCAGCAGAGGAAGAUUCAAUUCUCCUUUGCUCAAGUUUUUGGAGGUGUUCAGAAACAUUUGCAAAGGACAGAAUAACAUCCUGUAUGUUAGCAUCAAUCAUCCCCAACAACCUUCUGGGGCAGCAUAAUAGCUCACAGCCCCAUUGGAUAAUGUAUAUUAUAUGAGUAAAAUUCCAAUUUUUGCUAUGUCACAGGUGAAUGUACCUUUGGUGAGGGCUUCUACUGCUACAUGGCCGGCUUUCUUUUGCAAACAAGUGAACUCCUAUUGUUUUGAAGUAAGUGUUCUUUUAAUGGUCAGUUCAUUCUUUAGCUCUGAACAUGUAGGUGACUUUUAUUUUCUUCUGAAACAGCUUUAACCAAAAGGUGCAUGCAUCAGUGGCAGGAGAAGGCUGCUUUUUGAUUCUCCUAGACAGAGGCUGUGAUAAGCAAGGUCUGGACAGUCUGUGCUGCCUGGGAAUGUGCAGGUGACUGCAGACAGUGUGGAGGGACAAGAAUGGGCAUAUGGUCCCCAUUGGCACAGCAUAACAAAGUAAUUAAAAAUGUCUUAAAAUGCAGAAACCCCCCAAACUGUAAAGUAUAUCAUGGUAGAUGUCAAAUUAGCAUUUCUGUCUCUUUUGAACAAUGCCAUAAUCUCAUUAAUCUACAGAAGGAACGAAAUGCAUGGACUCCAACCAGUUGGCUGGACAUAUGUCGCACAUUGGACUGGCCAUUUGGCUGGAUCAGAUUAAAGUAGAGAAAUUGCAUAUUUUUUGGGCACUGAACAUAAAUCUGGGCCUGCUUAUUACUUUUUGAGCUUCCUUUUUGGAGUGAUAGAUCUGUAAGUGCCAAAAAUUCAGUACCAACUUGAGUUAAAAAAAAAAAAAAAACUUAUAAAGAAGCUCCAUGGAGAAAAGGGACAAAGGACUGGAGAUGGAGACCACAUGCAAGGCUGGCUUCAGAGUGCUGAGCUGUGUUAACCAGCAGCAUUCACAGGGUCACGUGUCUGAAUUGUCAAAGCUGCAGGAUUGGCUCACUUAUGGGCAAGGUGGAUCCAUUGAUUAAAUAUUUUAUUUUGAAUGAUAUCAUAUACUAUUAAGCCUUUUAGCAAGUGUUAUGUCUUAAAAUUCUUUUAUUUGCAAAUGUAGAAAUUAAAAAUCUUUCCAAUUUUUUGAAAGCAAAAUAAAGCUGUGUUGUUUAUCUGAAUGAAUGCACACACUAAUGUUUCCUGAGUAUUUGGUAUGUGCUCAGAGCAUUGUACUAAAUAUUGGAGGAAUAUGAAAUGUGACCCUGUAAGGUGCUUGUGGUUAGAGCAAGUUCACUACCAGCUCUAACACUGAGCAGGGAUGGCAUCUUUAGAAAUUGAAGCGUGCAAUGGGGAUUCAGAGAGAACCAGGUCAUAUCUGUGUGUGUGUUCGGCGGGAGGAAUGGGUGGAGUGAGGUGAGAAAAACCUUCAUGAGGAAGGUAGCAUUUGAAAAGAUGAGGGUAGAAUUCUGACAGGCAGAGAUGGAAAUAGGAGAGUGAUUUGACAUCUCUGGAGUCAAGGAUGGGGAGAUAGGAAGUCACAGGGAGACAUGUGAAGGAGACACUGGAGGAUGAGUUUGCAAAGGUAGAUGUUGGGUACCAUUUGGUGGACAGGACUCAAUGGCAGAUCAAAGAGUAUGAAUCCCCACUGCACUCUGCACAUUUCUAAAGAUGUCAUCCUCUGCCCAGUAUUAGAGCUGGUAGUGAACUUGCCCUAAUCACAAGCACCUUACAGGGUGGGUCACAUUCAAAGUCAUAUUCCUCCAAUGUUUAGGACAAUGUUCUGAGCACAUACCAAAUACUCAGGAAACAUUAGUGUGUGCAUUCAUUCAGACAAACAAUACACUUUCAUUUUGCUUUCAAAAAAUUGGAAAGAUUUUUAAUUUUUAUAUUUGCAAGUAAAAGAACUUUAAGAUACAGCACUGCACUAAAAAGCUACUGAAGGCUUCUGAGCAGAGGAAUGACAAAAACUGGACCUGCGCUUUCGGGCAGAUGAGAAUGCAUGGUGUAAUAUAUGAGAUGGGCUGGUGAGAACAUCAGUUAGGAGACGAUGGGGGUAGACCUGCCAAGAGAGGAUGGAAUCCUCAUGUAAGGACAGGCUGUGAAAAACAGGGGUUGUGCAGCCAGAGGGACUGUGGAAGCAGAAGCCACAGGACCUGAUCAGAUCAGGGGAUCAGGAUCGGGGGAGCUCAAAAAUGAUUAUUGUAAAUAAUAAUAAUCAUUACGCAUUUGCAGACAGGUUAGUUACUAUAAAGUUAUCUGGUUGAUAGAAUGCUCAGUAAAGAAACUUUUGCUCUAUCAAAGAUGCCUUUUUUUUUUUUUUCAGAUGGAGGUUCUCUCUGGUGCCCAGGAUGGAGUGCAGUGGCAUGAUCUUGGUUCACUGCAACCUCCGCCUUCUGGGUUCAAGCGAUUCUCCUGCCUCAGCCUCCUGAGUAGCUGAGAUUUCAGGUGUGUGCCACCAUGCCUGACUAAUUUUGUAUUUUUUUAGUAGAGACAGGGUUUCACCAUGUUGGCCAGGCUGGUCUCAAACUCCUGACCUCAUGACCCACACUCGGCCUCCCAAAGUGCUGGGAUUACAGGUAUGAGCCACCGCACUUGGCCAAAGAUUUCUUUUUAAAGGCAAAGUCUUUUAGUCCUUUGGAUUAAGAUUAACUAUGUCAGGGGGAAUGGGUGUGGGCGAGAUGGGGAUCAGGGCCAGUGUUCUGUUUUAAGUUGUCCAAACACUGCACCCCAGAGGUUAGACACUCCUGUUAGCUCAUUAGAAAGAUGUAGAAACCUGACAGGAGGACCGGAAGCUGGAACUAUCUCUUGGGCUUAAUAAUGCUGCACCCAUUUUCCCAUGGCAAACGUUAAUGUGCUUACAAGGUCUUAACACCAACUUACAUAUCAGUUUUCCAAGAAUUUCUGCCAAGGUGGUGGAUGGAAUUAAGAAAUUAAGUACUGCAGUUUCAAUAGCUCUGUAAUAUCUCUAAAUAGAAUUUAAAAAUUUAAGAGUGCUGCUGGUGGGUAUGUGCUCAAGUAGGUGGAGGAAAGGGGUUUCCCUGUAGAUAGGGUGCUCUUUUGACCUAUGCCCUAAAUCUGGGGUUCAAGUAUAAGCAAGUCAGUUCUAGGGAAUAUAGUAGCCAUUUGAUUUCAUUAAUUCUUCUUUUCAUAGCAGUAGAAUUUUCUAAAUGGAAGUGAGAUUUCAGAGACUCUCUCUGCAUAGAAAUGGUAAAUUAGAAAUCUGUCUAUGAAGACUUCUCUGCAUGUAACUAAAUGACAAUCUUUGGGGAAUUAUCAGUAUUUGGAGUAAUAAACCCAUUGCACAGAAUGGUUAAAUAUUAGUAUGUGGACUUUAGCUACAUUUAUUAUAAUUGUAAUGAUUCUAGUGAUAUAUGAACAUAUUUGGAAAUAAUUAAUUUGGAAGAAAUGUUUGCUAGCAUUUUGUUUUCUUGUAACUGUGACUCUGAGGCUGGCAAAUAUGAAUUAAAAUGUGCUUCCUGAGUUCAAGUGAAGGUAUUCAGUUAACCUGAACCUUUUGGGUUUUUCUUUCUAUUGGGGGAGAGGCUGCUGAGGAGAAAGAGCCCCUUUUUUCGGGUAGGGUCUCGUGGUCUUGCCCAGCCUGGAGUGCAGUGGCAUGAACACGACUCAUUGCAGCCUCCAACUCCAAGUCUCAAGUGAUCCUCCCAUCCCAGCCUUCUGAGUAGCUGGGACUACAGGCAUGUGCCACCACACCAGGCUAAUUUUAAAAUGGUUUUUGUAGAGAUGAAGUCUCAGUAUGUUGCCCAGGCUGGUCUUGGACUCCUUGCCUCAAGCCAUCCUCCCAUCUUGGCUUCCCAAAGCACUGGGAUUACAGGCAUGAGCCACUGCGCCCAGCCUGGAGCAACUUCUAAAUUGUGCUCUAUAUAGAAGCUACAUUGUUAGCAGAGUAUGCUUCUGGUGCUGUGCCACUGCCUGCCUUGUUUCUCCAGGUGUGGCCACCUGUAUAGUAAUUUCAGGCUAAAGUGCUGGGGUAAGACUGCGUUGAACUCUUUAAUCCCUAGGUAAAUUACUUAAUCUUCCUAAGCCUCAGUUUCCUCAUCUGUAAAAUGAGGAUACAGAUUCCCACCUCACAAGGUUGUUGUGAAAACUGAAGUGACAAAAGCUGUGGAGCAUUGUACCUGCCUUAAAUGUUAGCUAUUAUUCUCAUCAUAGGAACCUUGGCUCUGCCGUAUCAGAGCUGUUUGUGACCUUGGACAAGUUACUCAACCUCCCCCAAGCCUCAGUUUCCUCAUCUGGAAAAUGGAGUUAAUAGUAAUCUUUACCACAUAGGAUUCAUAUGAAUACUAAAUGGUAUUCUAUUAAGUGCUCAGCUCAGAAUUAUUGUAAAUGCCCCAAAAAUAUUUGUUACUGUUACUACUAUUACAAUCUGACCUUGGGAAAGUUAUUUAACCUGGUCCUUGCCUAAGAAACUAAUUUUUUUUUAACCCAUAAAACUGAAAUAAUUAUAUCUGUCUCAUAAAGAUGGGAGAAAUAAAUGUACAUAAAGGACCUGAUACAUAGUAGGCUUUUGGUGGAGGGAGCUGUUAUUAUUUCCACAAAUUAGCCUUUCUGCAGGAGAGCUGCCCCUGGCUGAGAGCCUUUACGGCCAGCUUCAUGCCUUUCAUUCUCUGCCCAAGUUGAACCACAUUCCCCACAGAAUUGACAUCUUUCCAGAGUGGAUAAAGUUCCAGGUAUCACCAUGCAACCCAACCCCUGCCGGACGCAGGCCUGCGUAAUUGCUCUGCACACAGACCUUGCUCCCAGGGCCCCAGUGGUGGCUGGGCCCAUGAGGCCUCUAUAUUUGAUUUCUGGAGAUCAACAAACAAACACUUGAAUUAAAUAAGCAUGUUAGUCGUGGCAAGUUCAGAUUGCUGUAAUUAGCUUCUGUCUGGCCUGCUGUAAGCAGCAGGCCUGUGCUUCUUACUGCCUGUGUAGCCAGAAACACUGGUCUCAGCUCUGAGGGUACUGCAGCGAAAAUCACUUGACAUUGGUGUUUUAGGACAGAUGCUGGUAAGGUCUCCUCCUGGGGUGGUGGUGGAGAGCAUGGGCCUUUCAUUUUUCAGGCUAUCGAGAGUUACUGAGCAAGUUAUUAGGCUUGGCACUGGGGAUAUGAAGACAGGCUAGACACAGUCCCUGAUAGCAAGGAACUAUGAUGGGGGCAGGAACAAAGAUGGAUGCAGAGGCCAGGAGGGGAACAGUGAUCACAUCUCCCUCCCUGGCUCCAGGAGUGAAACCAUGUCAAGUUCAGACUGUUCUUUGGGGCUGGCUGGGGAGAGGUAUUCCCCUUCAGAAAUGCCACAUUGUUAGCAGAAUAUGCUUCUGGUGCCUUGUUACUACCUGCCCUUCUUCAUCCAGGUGUGGCUACCUGUUGGGCCCUCGACCAGUUCGCCUGUGAGGGGCCCAGUGCCCCUCUGGUCCUUCUCCCUGCACAGGUCCAGCUCCUCUCCUGCCUCAGAAAUUCUGAGCUCCCUGGGCCUCAGCUCAGCUCCCCUUUCUUUCCCUUUCCUGGGAAGGUAUCACCUUUUAGGCUAAAUGACAGUCUGCAUAUCAUUAUCCUGCAAUCUGCCAAACUGGUGAUGCAUUUAAUCAUAGUGAUCAUGAUAACAAUGAUGAUGAUAACAAUACCAUGCUUUGGUAAAGCCCUUUUGAUCUUUUAGAGCGACUGUAUUUACUCCCCCUUUUUUCAGAAUCAUAUGCAUAUUCAUCAUCUUCACAGCGGCAUUCAUUGAGAACCUACCAUGUGUGUCAGCCCUGCAGGUGCAAAGAAGCUUAAUAUACAUGUCCGCCCACCCAUCCUCUAACCUCCGAGGGCAAGCAAUGUGGAAAGUCAAAAUAACAUGAGCUUUGCAACUCUCCCUGAUCACGACUAGUUCUGUGACCUUUGGCAUGUUACUUAACCUCGGUUUCCACGUUUGUCGUACAGGAAUAAUAAUAGUACUUCUUUCUGAGCAUCUUUAUGUACAGAAAUCCCACAUAUAAUCUCACUAAAUGUCAGCACUGAAUUAGCACCCAGACUGUUUCAGGGACUUUAUAAGCAUAUUUCUUAUACCUUACCACAGCUCUGCAAGCUCUAACUGCUUCCACUGUGCAGACGGGGAAACUGAGGCACAGAGACCUUCUCCGGGUCACAAAAUUGUUAUGUGGAAAAGCUGGGAUUCAAAUCCAGAUCGGGUCUAGAUACUCUGUUCUUUGCAGUACAGCCUCCACGGAGCUUAUUAGAUGCAAAACCCAAAGAAGUGGUACAGAGAGCGAGAACUAGAGAGCUCAAGAGAAACAAGCUCAAGAGAUGAGGGCAUGGUUAUUCUGAACAUGUUCUCAGUUCCGCCCUAGUUUUAAUUUUACGCACUGCUACUUUUAAAAAGAAAACAACUUAUGUAUAGUAUUCCUGAAUAAUAUGCUUAAUAUUAGUAAUUGCAUGUAGUCAGACAUUUUCUUUCAGUCAGUGCUAAUGUGAGACAUUUGUAUUCAAAGUUUUGCUUAAAUAAAAGGUGGGCAUUUUAUUUAAAAAGGAGCAUUUCAGCGAUAGGGAGGCCAAAUACACCGUAUGCGACUUUGUGACUCAGUCUGCAUCAGUGCCCUCUGGUGGUAAUCCUGGAAAUCAUUUAUAUCUUUCAGAAUGUAAGUAGAGCUUAAGAGGAAAAAAAACCCUGAAUUUACUCAAGAUCUACCGGACAUUUCUUGCUAAAAAUAUUAACCAGUAAAUGCUGGAAUCCUUUUUCCCACAUAAAAUAUCCUUUUCUUUAUAAAGGUCUAAAGCUGUAAGAAAUAGGUGACUUUUAUACAAACCUUGGCCAAAGGUGCCUUUAAUCGUUUUGGGUGGGAAAUAGUUUGAAAUCAAGUAUUUUAUGUUACACAAAUUAAUGUCAAGGAAAGAAAUAUUACCUAAAGAUUUCUCCUUGCUGUCUUUUCCACAGAGUCAUUUUAGUGAAUGGUGUAUGGAAAUAAACUUUCAAUUUAUUUGUGUCUUUUUCUCCAUAAAAUACAUUUAGCAAAAGAAAGGAUGUCUAAAUUGGGGUUUGCUUGGGACUGUCUGGAGACAUUCUUCCAAGGUCUUUAGUUGCGGGCUGAAUAUCCCACUUUCCCUUGUAUGCUCAGGAGUCUAAGAGUGGAAUCGAAAGUAUGUUGUAUGGUUCUGAGGAGAUUAUCACUGACAUUUCCAUAUUUUCCCUCAGUUUUUCAAAUGCGGCAUCUAACUCUGCAGUCCACAGAAUAUCCUGAAUGAUGGUCUUCUAAAAGGGCUUAUCUGAUAGGUGCUAUGGGCCAGCCUGUUUCAUCUUCAUGACAUUCCUUCGAGAUGUGAUUUUAGCCACAUUCUUCUACAAGAAAGGGACUCUGAGAAUUUAAGGUAACUUGCUACCCAGCUGUUCCGUGGCAGAAUUGGGAUUCGACCUCAAAUCUCUGACCUCGCAGUUAAAGGCCUUGCCUUCUUGCUGUGGAUGUUUCCCAAUGGUGGGUCACAUUCACGUUCGACUUGAAUCUAAAACAGAAACGAUGAGGUGGGCUGUGCUAUGUUCCCUAAAGUGAGAGUUGCAGUGGGGCUAAUGUGUUUGUGUGAAUGAGGAUUCUUCGCUGACAUGUGGCAAUGUCACUCUGCAAAGCCAUGGGAAACAAAGCUCUGCUUUUCCCCUACAAUAAGUUAACAUUGGCAAUACUGGUGGCCUGUCCUUAUGGCAGUAAAAGUUGCAUACAGCCACAUCUGUCCAGCCUGGCACAGCUCCUUUAAACAACAGGAGCCCGUUCUGUGGCACAAGUUGGGAUUACCAAAGAGAGGACGGCCUUCAAACCACUAGACCCAAUCCAACUUUGCACCUCACUGGGUAUUGCCCUUGGCCCCUGACUUCUUACUCAUUUGCUCAUUAUGUGCUAGCCUGUCCCUAAGAUUUGGUACAUUUUGCUACUUUUCUGAUUAGUGACGUUAGCUCCCAGUGGAAAUUCUGUCUCCCUUACUUGAAGAAAGUACUUUGUAAAAAAAAAUUGUGAAACCAAUUUUUUUCACCCACUAAUAAGCUGUUCUUAGGAGGGUAAGUACAGCUUACCUGACUCUGCAGGGCACUUUUGCAAGGAAGGGAUGAGGGGCUCAGUCUCUGCGGGGGAAGGAAGGCAUGCAGAGGUGGCAGAUGCUGAUGGCCUGAGAGGUGGGGAAUUUUGCCUCUUCUGGUUUCUAGUCACCCUAGCUUCUUGAAAGACUGAGUUUAGGGGUGUAGGUGUUGGAGUGGGGUGAAUGGGAUAGGAAUAGCUCUAUAAGCAUCUGAAGUUGCCCCAUUGGUACCAUUAGAACCAUACUUUUCUUUUCAUAAAAUUGUGAGUAUAUAAAGACCUUGAGGGCUUAGCAGGUUUUGGGGAAACCACCACAUUACUGAUCCUUCAAGAGACCAAGUAUAAAAAGAGUGCCUCUAAUUUCUAGCCUUUUGGUUACUGCUACCUCUGUGUCAUCAUCUCCUAUCACCCCCCUCACUUCUAGCCACACCAGUCUCAUCACUGUUCCUUGGAUGGGUCUCAGAUCUUUGCACUGGCUCUUCUUUCUGCUUGGACCACUCUUCCUCAAGACAGCUACAUGCCUUACUCCCUCCCCUCCUGCACUGCUCAAAAGUCACCUUUGUAGGGAGUUCUAAUCUGACCUCCCUAAUUUAAAUUGCACUUCUGAUUUCACUUACUUUGCUUUUUCCCUCAUAGUGAUCACCUUUUUUUUUUUUUUUUUUUUUUUUUUGAGGCAGAGUCUCACUCCGUCACCCAGCUGGAGUGCAGUGGCGCAAUCUCGGCUCACUGCCACCUCUGACUCUGUGUUUCAAGCCAUUCUCCUGCCUCAGGCUCCUGAGUAGCUGGGAUUACAGGCACGUGCCACCAUGCCCAGCUAAUUUUUGUAUUUUUAGUAGAGAUGGGGUUUCACCAUGUUGGCCAGGAUGGUCUUGAUCUCCUGACCUUGUGAUCUACCUGCCUUGGCUUCCGAAAGCUCUGCAAUUACAGGCGUGAGCCACCAUGCUUGGACCACCUUUUAACAUAUUACAAAAUUUUCUUAAAAUUUUUCAUGUUUAUUGCCUAUCUCCUGUUUCACCCUCCUUCUUGCAUCCCUGAAUAUAAACUCUAUCAGAAUAGUGCAUUUGCUUUUUUUUUUUUUUGGUCCUUUUUGUUCAAUAACAAACAGUGCCUAGAAUAAUGCCUUAUAGAAGUGCUCUAUAAACAUUUGUUGAAUGAAUGAAUGAAGUAUAAUACAAGGAGUAAAGGUUUGGGAUCCUCUGGUCAUAGAAUGCUGCUCAGAUAUGUACUAUAGAAACCAUUCUGAAGCAUUUCAAAAGACAUCCUGUUUCUCCUCUGGAUACUGCAAAAUUAUCUUCUCCAGGCCCGAGGAUGAAAUGUAUGUGAGAAUGCAUGAAGCCUGACACAUGGUUAGCAUUGAUGAAUGAUAACUCAUGUUAUCAUUGAUGGAGAUGGAUGAAAGAAACGGAGUAACUAGCUUUUAAAACACAGUUUUACCUCCAUAGUCAUAUCAACCACCUUAGAUGAAAAUAUUGAGGAAAACAAAACAAAAUUUCUGGUUAAUUAAAGAAUAUCAGGAGGUCUUAGUAGAUUCCAGGUUUUUCCUUCAAUGAAAUGACUUAUUCAAUAAAAAGCCUCCAUAAGUACCGGGUCUUGUAGUUGGGUACAUUCUUUGAGUCGUGGAUCUGCCUCCCAGGAAGGUAGGCAGACACCAGUGAGGUGUCUGGUGCUUGGGAUACAGUGAGUGGAGCCAAGCAGAGAAUUCUUGGAUCCGUUUGCAAUGGGAUUUCUGCAUUUGCUGCCCCAACAUCUGGAGCCAGCCUACCCAGUGCAGAUGGAAAAUAGCAAAAUGCAAAUUCUGUGUUGAGGGAAGCCAAAGCAGACAGAGCCUGAGAAGGCGGAUGAAAGGUGAGUCAAAACAAAAGUCCAGGCAGGUGGCAGUGGCAGCGGCAGCGUUUUAUCUAGAGCCUAUGGCCCCGGGUAAGGACAGGAGAUGAGACAAAGGACCUUAGAGCUAUUUUUUUUUAUUGUACUUGGGCUCUGGGGUACAUAUGCACGUCCUGCAUCCUGCAGGAUUGUUGCAUAGGUACAUACAUGCCAUGGUGGUUUGCUGUCUCAUUCCCUUCCACCCCCCUCCCCAUGAGCUAUUUGGGCCACCUCAAUGUUCAUACGAAUCCCCCUCCUUAACAGCCUGAAAGAGGGCCUGCUGGGCUCACAGCAGCCUCCCUCUCCUCUUCCUGAUCCCAUGCCUGCUCCAUUGUUUUACUUCUCUGGAUUCUACUUACCCCUUUCCCUUAAGAAGGAGAUCCUGAAAUAGAUCCUGAGUCAAUGAUUCAGGUGCAAGUGCAUUAUUAAAGAAAGGCUCCCAGAAGAAAUCCAUUUGCACCUGAAUCAUUGACUCAGGAUCUCCUUCUGGGAGAAUCCAAUUCAAGACAAGGCAGACAACCCAACCAAGAUGCUCACAGCUUCCACUACUACAACCCUGGAAAAGAUUCUGAUUGGCCAGCUAAGGGUCACAUGCCCAAACAGGCCUUUGAUUGGCAGCUGUUGCUUCCUUCCUACUCCCUCCCACAUAUCCAGGAGCUCCAGCCUGUUAUGGGAUGGGCAUCCUACUAGGCACCCAGGAUGCUAUGGUGAGCAGUCCUUGCCCUCAUGGGUUUACUUACACUUAAGGGAAGAGAACCAUUAGUCAAAUCACCCCACAUAAAGAUCUUUACACACUGUGGAGAGUGCGGUGAAGGACAAGCACAGGGUGCAAUCAGUGGGAGGGGCUGGGAAGAGAAAGUGCCGUGCUGGCUGCUGCUGUGUGGGGUGAGCUGUAGAGAGCAAGAAUGAAAGCCACAGCAGGGGAGCUGGUCAGAAAUUCAGCGGCUUCAUUAGAGUGGUGGCCCUGGAGUUGGAGACAGGUGGGAAAAACUCAAGAGCCUUCUAGGGACCUAGCCCAUGGCAGCCCAUCGCCACCAAGUCCUUCUACUGCUCUAGGUUUAAAAAAAACCCCAAAAACAAAGCUACGUUGCAACACACUGCUACACCAGGAAACCUAAGGGGGAACAAAAGAAAACUGAGUGGUGCCCUCUAGGCUGAAGAUUUGACCUAUUAUUUACUAACCUUUCCCUCCCUUUUCCUUAUUUUCAACAAACACAUCCAUCUCCAGCCAACCAUUUUAAAUUCAUCUCAACUUUAUUUACUGCCUAAAAUAAAUGUCCACCAUGGUAUUUAUCCAUAUUUUCAUGAUUUUUAUUAUUUUUUGGAGUGGGUAUCUAAAAGAUUCCCUGUUCCUGAUUCUGGAGGUGACAGAGAGAAGCUGUUUUCUAAUUUUUUGUGUGUGGAAUUAUUCACAUAUGAGGAAAAGAGAUCUCAAAAAUAGAAGCUCUUUCAUUGUCUCUCCACAAUGUAGCGUGGCCGCAAGUGGCCAUUUUGUGGAGAGACAGUAUUUGGGGUGGCUAAAUCAUUACCCUGAGGUGUGUCAGAUGCUGCCAAGACCUCCUUCAUGCAUGUGGCCAAGAAUGGGGGCUUCCUGGCUGGGGAGGUGGAGGCCCCGCUCUUCUGCCACUAACCUUGGUGUCAGUGAGCCCUGAUCCACACUUCCUCUGAGCAACAUCGAGGGGUUUGUCCGGGCUUGCCGAGCAUAUAGACCAGCCUUGUUUCUAAGAGAUAGAGGGAACUAGAGCACUGGGGAAAGUCCCAAGUAACUCUAGCCCCCAGCUACCUGCUGUGGCUGAAGAUGAGGACUUUGCAGCUUCAAGAAUCCAACUGGCUGGUGCACAUUGUCCCUAUUGGCCAGAUCAUUUCUCCAUGCAGCACUUCACUAAAUUCAUCAACUCAUGUUUACAAAUGACACGGCUUUGCUGGAUCACGUAUACUUCAGUCUUCAGAAUCCAUCAGGCACUCAAACCCCUUGGCAGUUCUAGUCUUCUCCCCUAGACAUGCCUCUGCCCCUUAUGACUCAGUUCCUUUUAUUUCUACCAUUUGUUUUUAUUUUCUAUUUCAUUUGUUUACUUUUUAGAGGCAGGGUCUCUUACCCAGGCUGGAGUGCAGUGGCAUGAUCACAGCUCACUGCAGCGUCAAACUCCUGGACUCAAGUGAUCCUCCUGCCUCAGCCUCCUGAGUAGCUGAGACUACAGGUGUGUUGCACGACAUCUGGCUAACUUUUGCAUUUUUUGUUGAGAUGAGGGUCUCACUGUGAUCAGGCUGGUUUCAAACUCCUGAUCUCAAGCUGUCCUCCAGCCUUGGCCUCCCAAAGUGCUGGUAUUAUAGGCUACCAUGCCUGGCCCUUAUUUUCUUUUAAAAAUGAGCUUCCCUUGUACCUAAUUCCCAUUCUACUUGUGUUAUUCUAUUUUUCCUGUAUUAUGCUCUUCCCUUGCUCUUCUUCUCCUCUCCCUUUCAUUUUUUCUAUUCUUCCGUCUCCUGCUACUGCAUAUGAAUUAGAUCUGCUCUCCAAAUACCAUGUGUAUCACCAUCUAUUCAGUGGUAGAAGCUGUUCUUGCACUGGCUUGGAAGAUGACAGUUCCCAAAGCAUUCCCUAUAGAGGCUGAUUGAUCUGACCCAGCUAAUGAUACCAGUUAAAAUAAUCCUGGCUCAAGGCCCAUGAGACUCACCAGUCAUUAUGCGGUGUUGGAAAGUAAAACUGAUUUGGCAGCCUCGUUAGAUUAUAAUCAGCUCAAAUCUUCUCUUCUGGCUUCUCAGAGCAUCACAUGUGUCCCUAGGAGCAGCAGAGGGGAGAAAACCACCUCUCCUCCCCAGCUUUCUGUAUUUCUUCUAAGGUUCUUAGUUCAAAUUAAAUCUUUACUCUGUGAGAGCAGAUAAUGACUCAUUGGCCACCACGACUCUCACCUUAAGUGGGAUUCUAAUUUGUUUUAGAAGCUACUAUUGACCCCUAGGAUAGCAUCUACAAUCUCGAGAGUGUAGUUUCAGGAUAGUAUGCACCAAUAGAUGCUGGGCUGAGAAAUUGGGACCACAUUCAGUAACAAGAGUGAUAAUAGCUACCACUUCCUGAUUGCUUAGACACUUCUAUAACAACUCAUUUAAUCCCUGGAUCAAUCCUAUGGGGUAUGUAAUAUCUUAUUUUGGGAGGUAGACACUGAAGCAUAGAGAGGUUAAGUAAUUUGCCUAAAGUAAUAGAGUCAGUAAGUGGCAGAACCAGAUUGGAGCUCCAGGAGACUGGCUCCAGAAUCCGUGCUAUUCAUAGUUCCCUCCAUCACAGUCUGAAAGUUGGUACGUAAGCAUGGCACAAAGACAGUGACACUUAGGAAGAGUUAUUUGGAAGCAGAGAGAUAGAAUAAUUGAUGGAAAAGUCAAGGAAUCCAGUAACAGAAUCUCUGGUAAUAAUCCUGGUGUGUGAAUAUGGAAAGCUAUAUGAGAGAUGACAUGAAGGAAACAUUUAGACUAAUUUGGGACAUAGAGGGGAGAGCACGGUGGGAGCAUUCUACCUGAAAGCACGGUGGGACCAGGGUCAGACAUGGGGGUGGCAGAAAGUGCCUUUGACUUGUGGUGACCCUGAGAUUUUAGGCUGAUAAGAUUUCGAAGAUGCAGAGAUGAAUCUUGGCUCUGGCUCCCCCACCCUUUCUUGCCCAACACUCUGUCCCCAAAAAGAGGGAUGCUGCUGUGGAUUAGUUGCACUCCAUGGGGCCAGCAUGCUUGAAGGCUAGAGGGUUGGGCUUUUGCUGGGAGAAGUGGAGAGGUUGGAAAGAAACACCCUGCAUUCCUCAUCUUCUCCAUGUGUACUUUCUUAGUGUCUUCCCUCCCAUGUGCUGGAUCAUGGGCAGUCUAGUCCAGGGCACCUGUGGGCCUGAUUAUCCCCCAAUUCCCUAGGAUGUCCUUUUGGCUGGGGCCAGGGGCAAAAAGCAUGGAGAGGUACCUUCGGGGAUGCACAUGCUCACAUUUUCACACAUCCUCAUACUUCCUCUUCUGGAGGGAAAAUGGCAAGAUAAGCCUAUCAGGAACAUGGUGGGGGCUGGAAGUAAUAAGCCGGGUAACAGGAUAUCCACCUGCCUUCACUCUAGCUCUGGUGCUCAGAGGAAUAGGGGUCCUCCCAAGCUCCCCAGGGUAGGGCUAAAAGUUUGGGACUGAAACUCCAGCCUGUGCUGACCAUGCAUUUUCCCUUAAGCCAUUUCACUUAAGUGAAUACUAGAAGUAUCCUUCUCUGUACCUGGAGCAGGGGUCCUCAAUGGCGUGCAGUUUAGGGGCCCAGAAUCCACCUUUCUUAGCCAUGACAAUCUCACCUUUCUUUUGUCCACCCAAGCUGAAAUUCCCUUCUGUAGUUCUUUAGUGUCCUAAUCUGCCUAUGUUUUCCCUUUUCAAAAAGAUACCCAGCUUAAAUAUCCUUAAAGUAUUUGGUGCAAAGAGCUAAAAGGAGCUAUAAAAAUAAAGACACCUCCUCCCUCAGGUAUUCUGGUGCCUGACAAAAUGAUGACAUCUGAAGCCCUGGUUAUGAAGAGCUCUCAUUGCCGAUAAACAAAUAAAAACCAGAGGCUAUAUGAAUAUUAAUAAUUUGGGAAUGCGGGUGGAGGUAUUGCUAUUCUUGAACAACGUAUGUUCACACUUCAUCAUGUUAAUUAACAAAGUUCUUUUUCUUGUAAUUUCAGCAGGAGGUAUCCCAGGGUAAGAGAACAAGACCUGGAUUUAUGUGAAUAGGAUAUUUUAUUUCAUCACUGAAUCCAAAUAGCGUUUUCCUAGUGUGAAAACAGAUGGUAGAGACUUUAUCUGUGGUCAAAAGCAUUAUGUCUGAGAGUGAACCCUUCUUUGGCAGGCAGAUUUGAAUAAAUUCAGGAAGUGAUUUAAGACAUGAUACAUCUCCUAGAACCUAAUCCAUGGCAGGUACUUUUAUUAACAAAAUUUAUACACUCAAAACAGUGACUCAGAGAAUCUAAUUUUCAUUUUGGCAAAUCAUAUUUUUUUUUUUUUUUUGCCAUCAACUAUAUAUGUGAAUACUAGAAGUAUCUCAGAAAACUAAGUCUGUGAGUCAGAGUUUGCAUGCUUCCCACACCCUAGCUGAAGAAUUUCUUCUGAUUUGGUUGUUAAGACCUCUGUGUGUUUGAUAGAAAUUAUUUGGGUGAAGUAAUCAAAUCCUGGCUUGCUAUUUACCUUAUUAGAUACCAAAUUAUAAUUUUGUAUCUUCAACAAGGAAAAGUUUAAAUAAGACACUGUACUUAAAUGAUGUUUGGAGCCAUUGCAAACAUAAGGAGGUAUUUUUUUUUUUACAACAUACAGCUUUUGUACAAAGCCAAAUUUCUCCUAUAUUUUCAAUGGAAAUUAGAAAAUUAGGUUAACUCUUCCCUGCUUCCAGAGUGUAAUUGGAUAACUGUGGUUUUGGAACCAAAAUGGAGUACCUGCAGGGACGUUUCUGAGAGCCAAACACAGAUGUGGAAAUAGCUGGAAGGUAUAAUGUGUCUACAGUGACUUACUGUCAUAGUCUACUUUUGGGUCAAUUUCCUUCUCAUAGUCCAUCGGUGAACUUUUUGGACCGUGAUUUCUUGAAUAUUUCUUUUUAAUUUCUUUUCACCUCCAUCAAUACAUUGACAAAUUCAUGUAAUGAAGAAGGUUUAGAUGACGCAGUGCCAGAGCUGGGUGAGAGCUCUGAAGUGAACAAGGUAGAGGCAAUGUGCACCAGUGAAAUCUUCACGUGGCCACUUAAGGCCCUCCGUAGACCUAGGGGGUCUCAAGCUUUACUGUGAUGAGAAUCUCUUGGUUGGCAAUCAAUUGCCUUGUAAACAAAACAGAACAAAAUUCUGAACUAAUAAUCAGGGAUGGAGGCUAAAGGAAUCUGUAUUUUUCACAAUCGUUCCAGGAAAUUCAGAUGCAGCUGGUUGAAGGAUGACAGUCUAGGAAACACUGCAUACAGAGUCCCAACUCUAUGGCACCCUCAUGCUCCAGAAAAUUGAUAAUAGUUAUUAAAGUCCCUACUUUUCUUUGCAUAAAAAUCAGGUAGUUCGAUCUCAGCAAAUGCAAAUGAACAAAUGGAUGUGGCAUGUCUACUGCAGGAGGCUUUAAUGUUUCUGAUUCUUUCUUCUCCAAGGUUGGGAGACACAAAGUGAGGGCAGAUGGUCUCAGAGAUGUGACAUGGUCAAGUGACCAAUGAAAGCAGUGUAAGAAUGUGUAUCUAGGUUUUCAAUACCCUGUACUUGAAUCACUUUUUCUUUGUUGACCUGUAAGCCAAUAAAAAACAAUGGGAAUCAGACAAUUAGUAAAUAAAUACCGAAUCAGGAAAAGCACAGAGGAUGAUGACAUGAGGCAGCAGGGAUCUAGCUUAUUGUGCAGGGGCAAGAUACAGUGACAACUCAAACAGCUGUGAGUUAUAAUGCUCUAGGAGCUGUGUGAGCACAAGAGGAUUCUCAUGCUCAAGAUGCUAUUGUGUGGCUUUGAUAAAUGUAUUUAGAGCCUUAUUAUUCUGAGGGUCCACAUGUAAAAGGUAUGAAUGGGGCACAGUGUACACAGCAUAGAAAUGUAUUUUGUGACCUACAACACAAAGAAAAUGGAGCUGUGGCUCUCAGAGCUUUUAGAUAAUUUGGCAACUGUUUCUUGUGCACUUACUGUGUGCUCAGCAUUGAGCCCAGAGCAGAUAGGCAUGACUCAUGUUCUGUGUUGUACACCAGCCAGACAGCUGCCCUGCAUUUCUCAGAGCCAAACCGAUGCUGGCUUUCAGUUGCUCAGUGUGGCAGGCAGAUACAAGCAGCUUUCUGGUGUUCUGGGCUUUCACGCUCUUUUAAGGCGCCAACUCUAUCCCUCAACCUGAAGAGAUUAAAAUGUCAACUAAUUGCUGCACAUCACUGAUUUCUAGUUCAAAACUUGAGAAAAAAAUUACUGAAGACCAUCGACACACUUGAGAGAUGUACCUAACCCUGUGAAUUAACAGUGCAUGGGAAACAGCAUCAGGUAAAUGAGCCAUAUGUGGGCUUUGGGGCCCCUGGACCUGAUUUCAGCCUGUAAUUUUGUCACUUCUUGCUCUCUCUGAGCCAUAGUUUUCUCCUCUCCAAAAGAGAGAUCAUUCUACUUACCUAAUCAGAUUCACGUAAUCAUUGAUAAAAUACAAAUACAUAUGGCACCGUACUGGCCCAUCAUAGGGACUUAAGAAAUAGAAAAUGCUCCUUUCUGCUCCUUGUCCUUAUAUUCUGGGCCUUCCUAAAAUAUCGUCUCAUUUUUGGUUAAACCUCUAAGUCAAGCAGAUAGUACAUUUUGGUUUGCACUUUCCUAGAGGGCAAACUGCUUGGGAAGAAGCCCUGUGUCAGAGUUCACUGCAAAAUGAGCAGAAAAUAUUCGAGUUCUAAAAAACAGGACUCAUCAUCUUCCCAGGGGUUUGUUAUAGCCCCCGAAUUCCUGCCAGGAAACAGAGCCUGAGACAAGGGUUUGUGUGCAAGUAGCUUAUUUUCGGAAGUGAUUUCAGGGAACUGGAGUAGAGGACUGGGAAGGGGGAAACAAAGAAAGAAGGGAAGCCAAUACCUACAAAGUUGUGUUAUCAAGUUUGGUUGCAGUUGUGGGAAACUGGAGCGUGAUCCUCCUGGGACUCUCUGACAGCUGUGAAGAAUGAAUCUCAUGAUUGCCUACUCAAGGGACACAAUGGGGGCAGGCUUCCACAAGCUCCCAUCCUUGAUUGGUCAAGCAUCAGCCCCAGGUGUUAACUGCUUCACACUGCUGGGUUUGCACAAGUGCUGGGUAAUUCUCAUAGAUGUCCUAGGCCAGGCGUUUGAGAAGCCCCAAGCCAUUAUGCAGCAGAAGUGAGGUGUACUUAGGAAAACGAGUAAAAUGUGGGAUCCAGAGAAUGUGAAAUGGACAUAAGCCACAUCCAGUAUAGGGCUUCAUCAGCAGAAAAGUGAGCAAGUCUGCUUCUCCUUUCAAACUUUUUACAAAAGUAGCCACUGGAAUAUUCUUCAAUUGCUUCCAGUGGCUUUGGACAGCCUCACUGUUCUCUUGGUUUUCUGAAGUCUAAUUGCAUGUACAGGCUCAGUAACUUGGCACUUCGUGACAUAUCUCUUCUGUGUCCUUCAAUGUAUUUCUGUGUUUUAACUGCAUCCCCCUUUCCCAUGAAAGACAUCAGUUUCUUUGGGUAGCUUGGGAUGGAGUCUUCAAAUUCCUUUUUAUCCUAUCAACUCCUAACUGUGCUCUGCAGAAACCUGUUGACUUGAGCUCACUUGGUAGAUGAUAAAUUCUUUCUCUCUAUGCACAAUUAUCUUUUCAAAGGCCUGUGGAGUCUUCCUACUCCUUAACUCUAUUGAGACCCUCACCAAUUUCUGGUGCUUGGAAAGCAGUAUUUUUAGUGAGAGGCAGGGAGCAGGGAGCACAAUGCCAGUGCCUCAGGGUGUUGUAGGGUUUUCAUCAGCGAUUCAUUCUGCACUCUUUGUAUUUGGUUUCAUUCUGAUUGCUUCACAGCCAAUAGCACUCAGAAGGGACAUAUAUUUAGACUAAACUCUAAGCCUCUUAUUGAGACUUUCUGUAUAUAAUGAAACACAAAUGUGCUGAUCCUUUCUCUGCCUAAUUUUUUCCUUUUCUAGUGAAGCCCUUGCCAGCUGUAGAUACCGUGUGGUUAUGAGCGGUGACUAGGACCUGCAAUGGGUCAUCAGAGGACUAGUAUUUGCCAAUUUAUUUAUUUAUUUUUGAGACAGUGUCUCACUCUGUCGCCCAGGCUGGAGUACAAUGGCAUGAUCUUGGCUGACUACAACCUCUGCCUUCAGGGUUCAAGUGAUUCUUGUGCCUCAGCCUCCCAAGCAGCUGGGAAUACAGGCACCUGCUCUGCCCCCAUGCCUGGCCAAUUUUUUGUAUUUUUAGCAGAGAUGGGGUUUCACUAUGUUGGCCAGGCUGGUCUCGAACUCCUGACCUCAAGUGAUCUGGCUGCCUUGGCCUCCCAAAAUGCUGGGAUUACAGCCACCGUGCCCUGCCUGGAAUUCUUUUAGAUGGCAAGGUAUCCAGGUUACCCUCAGCAUUUCUUACUGUGAACCUGGAACCACUUAUAUAAGUUACUCCUGAGCUGCCACAUUCCGCGGGACAGUCGUACUACACGACUCCCAGGAGGCAUUCACAUCACAGUCAGUAUAAAUGUGCUUCCUGGAGAAGUGCAGUGAGUAAGCUGCGUGGCCACAAAUAGUGGCCCUACCUGAGGCCCCAUCCCACUUCUCCUAAAUCAGAAUUUCUAGGAGGGGACCCAGGAAUCUUCAUCUUCACAAAUCUCACAGGUUCCUGUUAACACUAAAGUUUGAAAAUCACUGCUAAGGAGAUAGGUUUUGAGAAAAAGAUAUAUCAGAAGAAAAGGAAUGUGGGAAAUUAUCUCAGCAUCUAUGCUGUCCCUGGAUCCUUUGCUUCCCAGGCUUAAAUGUAUACAGUGGGCUUCAUGGAUAAUUCAGUGAAUCAUUGCCAUUCAGACUAGGAUGGCACUGCUAGUGAUCUGGUCAUCUUUUCAUCUCUUUCCUAGUAGGCCUCGCUUGUUUUAUUUUAUGUGAGCUUUUAUAUUCAAAAAUUUUAAGAGAGAAGCUCUGAUCAGGGCACUUCAUAUUGAAAGGUGACCCCCACUGGGUAGCAUCUAAAGCAGAGUUAUCUCCUUGGCAACUGGUCUUACUCAUGUUCUGUUUACUUGUACGUGGCUCCCUUUGGCCUGGGUCCUCAUAUUUAAUUUCAAUGAACAUUAGCUAUGGUAUCUUAAGAAAGGACUACCUAUGACUGAUUUUCUCUGAAGGGAGCUGGGGGCAUGGCCAGGACCUAGUGCUUUAUUCUUUGUUAGGACAGAAAGAGAAUAUAAUUACUUAAAACACCAUCCCAGAUGACAUGUCCCAUAAUAAUAAGAGCUAAUAUGUGCUGCAGCAGGCAUUUUUUCUAAGUACCUCAAAAACAAUUUUUUUGUAACAGAUGUUUUGUUAUCCUCAUUUUAGAGAUUAAAAAGUUGAGGCAUAGAACUUGCCCAAUAGUUCAGAAGUGGUCUCACAACUGGAACCCACACAAUUUAGCUCCAAGUUGCUAUUCUUUAUGACUGUUGGGGUCAUGGCAAAAGAUCAAUGUGUGGGGUGUGUGUGUGUGUGUGUGUGUGUGUCAAAUAUUGUGUGUGUCUACAGGCAUGUGUGUGCACAGGUGUGAAUAUAUGUAUGUGUGCUAGAGGUAGGACAGGGAUAAGAGGGAGAGUGCAAGGCACAACUUAGUUCAGAAAGGCAAGAAUAUGUGGAAGUCUUCAUUGAUGCAUGUUGUGGGAGGGAGUUGGGAGACAGUGACAGAUGCCACAAAGCCUCAAGACAGAGCUGAGAUUGCCUUGAGGACCAGAGAGGAUUCUAGCAAGAGAUCCUCAGGACUUUUUCUUACUCCUUUGCUGACUUCUUAUAAAUGACUAGAUACCCACCUGACUGUCCAUGGUGACAGUCAGAAUAUAAUUUGAAAAAUAAUCCCACAUUAAAAAUAAUCCCACAUUAAAUGCCUUUCUAUGGAGCCGUAACUUCCAUCUUAGCCAAUACCUUCCAUGGCCUGACUCUACUUGAUAGACAAGCCCUGAGAAUUUAGGGAUAAACAGUUGUGGAUAUGAGUGUGUUUAAGGAAAGAAAACGGAGAGGGUUGUAUUCACAUCGCCAAGGAACAUAAAGUUUGCAGUAGGAGUGGAGGACUGGAAGACUACCUUAUCCUGAAGACCACGGUUAGGAUUCAAGCCUACAGCUGCUACCAAGCCUGCAAUCCAGUUUCCACUAAAGAUGGGACAAUUAUUCCAGUAAUUCAGGAGGGGAGCUGUUGAAUUAAUAAAAUAAUUAUCACUUUCUUUCUUUUCUUUUUUGUAUUUAGAGAAAGAUUUGAUCUGCUUCCUUCAAUGUGUGCCACAUCUCUGGGCUUGUGCUGCCUCCUAAGUCCUUAGACUUUCUUGAGCAAGACGCAAUGGCCAGUGAAAUAUCCUUUUCCUGGACCUGUAUGGGCCUUGACAAGAUCUUGGGGAUUCUGAAACUGCACCUUUUCACUUUCCUUAGCUAGUUUUCUUGCAAUCAAUGGUUUAGAGACUAACAAGAGGUCAGGUGUGGUGGUUCAUGCCUGUAAUCUUAGCACUUUGGGAGGUCGAGGCAGGCAGAUCACCUGAGGUCAGGAGUUUGAGACCAGCCUGGGAAACAUGGUGAAAUCCUGUCUCUACUAAAAAUACAAAAAAUUAGCUGAACAUGGUGACACAUGCCAGUAAUCCCAGCUCCUGGGGAGGCUGAGACAGGAGAAUUGCUUGAACCUUGGGAGGUGGAGGUUGCAGUGAGCCAAGAUUGUGCUGUUGUACUCCAGACAGAGUGAGACUACAUCACUAAAAGAAAGAAAGAAAGGAAGAAACAUGCAAGGGAUAUUUGGUUUGAGAAGAAGAAAAUGGUUAUUUAGUGUUUCAUGUUAUUUCCAAGUCACAAUUGGUUUCUUGUUGAUUGGAAAUGAUUUGACAUAGUCCUGGCUAGGUAGGGAGAUGAACAGGAUGACCUUUGAUCUCCCAAAUUCUGAGUAGGCAGGUGGGUUGUGCAAGGUGUAGAUUCUGCCUAAUAUUUGGCACACUAUGUGAAUUGGAUACUUAAAUACUCCAAAUAGAUUUUGGUGCUCAGAGCAGACUUUGAAGGAAGGGGCCAUAGUUCUCUCAGUCAGUUGUUCUUCUGGGAAAUACCCACAAAGAUCUUCUCUGUCUUAGGCAGAAUGAUUACUCCAGAGACCUUAGGAGUUUUAAGACAGCCAAAUGCAAGAUAAGAAAGGCUAUCUUGGAGAAGAUCGGCUGUUCAUCCCCACUUGGACUCUUGGAUAUAGCACAUUAUUGAAUUCAAGGCAAGAGGCCAUCCUUUCCUUAAGACAGUAAACUCUCUGUUUUCUGAAGUGAAUGGAAAGAAAAGGAUGUUUUUGUUCCCUAUAUCAGUUUCUAGAAAUGAGUAUAUUGCACAGUGUGCUUCAAACUGUGAUGCUACUGAAUAUAAUUUACUGUUAUUUAGAUGUUUCAGAAGCCCCUCUGGGAUCCUGUCAAGAGUCAGGAAAAAAAAAGGGCUUUCAUGUUAUAAAAUAUUCUAAACCAACCAUGCAAUCAAUUGGAACUUACAAUUUACAUGUAACUGUCAAGGGAUUAUACCAGUUAUGUGGGAAACAUAAAGAGAUAUAAGCUAUAGACACAUUGAUGGCAAACAGAGUUACAUCUACAUGGGUUCUUUGUCGGAGCUUAAGACUAGAACUCAGUAUUUGGUGCUUGUGAUGGGUUUAGUAGAUCUGCCCCGUGUCCACUUCACUUGCCUUCUAAUACGCCUUCCUGAACUGCUGAGCCUGGAGAACCAAACUCCACAUUUCUUGCACACCCCCGCCCUCAAUGAUUUAAAUCCAGCCAUGAUGUUGCACUGGUGCAAGGUGAGGAAGGCAGAAAUGAGCAGAGGCUAUGCUUUUGCUGUGUCUGCUUUUUCUUUUGGAAUUGCUUGUGGAGGCAUUUGCAUUUUCUGUGGCAGUGUUAGCGGAAGUUUGUGGGUGUCAAGAGGUGAGUCACAGAGAUCUUCUUCUGCAGGUGAGGAUUAAAGCAUGUCUGAUCUGAUGUGGAGACAAUUUCUGUCCAUAAAAGCUUCCACACAGUGAUGGCUUCCUGACCUCGGCAGUCUAUGGUUUAGGACGUGGUGGUUUCCUCAUCUUGGGUGACCCAAGAGCUUCCUUGGUGACCCAAUUCUACGAUGUGACAUUGGGAGCCAUUUCUGAAAUUUCAAACUUAGUCUGUUUUUUUGGCUCUCCCAAUGAUUCAGUGAGCUUUUUAAUGCUCUGUAAUCCUUUCAUGCUUAAACUUGCUAGAAUGGCUUAAGUUCUCUGCAAUAGGACCCUGACGAUGACUGUUAUUGGUGCCAGGAGGGUUACAGACAACAGACUCUAAAGAAAUUGGAGAUAUGGAUUUGUGUUUUCUGACUUGAUUGGGUUUGAAAGAAACGAUGAUUAGGUUCGCAUUAGAAUAUGGAAUGCUAACAGUGCUCGACAUGCAGUGGCAAAAUAGUUACUUAAAAUAUCACCCAUCGGUCACUUGUAAUAAAGUGCCCAGUGAAGACAAGGCUUUAGUGGACUGAAUGCCUGCUAAUCAUUAUGGAGAAAAUGAGGAAAACAAGGACUGUGGCUGUCUCUACCUACACUGGAGAACUUUAAGAAAGUUUUUAAAUUUUUAAGUUUUAAAACUAUUUUGGUAUGAGGCAUGAUCUGAGGACCAAGGAGCUUCUGUGACUUUCUAGAAGAAUCAUUUAUUUCAUGUAACCACAGGGUUGACACAUUCUCUGAUCACAUGCAGUUUGAUCUUGUGCGUUGAUGAUAAAAGAUGGUCUGAACUCACAGCAUCACUAGGUCACUUACAUGAAAACUUGGGUAUUGAUUGGGAAGGGGUGAGACCCUGAGAAGUGAAAUGGAGCCUUCUGGGUGAGUUCAACUAAACCUGAGGACACAAGUUCUCCAAACUCCAUCAAACUUCCCUUGUCAGUAGACACAUCUCCUCCUCUGUCUGUUGAGGCUGGUCUCUCCUUGUUUAGAGACAAUGGUCUUGCUGAGGUAGUUUUCAUGCAAGGGGCUGCCAUAUUUCUUCCUGUUCUUCUCUCCCACCAUUCAUUGUUUUAGACCCAGAACACCCUAGAAGGACAACACCUAUCUUAAGAAGCAAAAGUUUACACACUCAAAGACUGCAAGAUUUUGCUCAUUUUAUUUCAGAAAAACCUGGGGAAUAGGUAUGGGAGUGGAUUAGAGGAAUCUAGGCCACAGAGGAAGAGGCAAAAUUUUAAAUCUGGCUUGAUUCAUUGGUGUGAGUUCAUUUUUCUAGGUGGUACUGAUGGGAACGGUUGUAAUUUGGUCUGUCUGAUUGACUGGAAACAGGACUCCAUGGUGGCAUACUCGCAAGAAAAUUGAGGUGUCAGAAAUUCAUAGGGGGGAGGGAUCCAAACAUUUAGGAGGAAGAACUAUUGAAAUGGAUGUUUCAUGUAUGACCCAGUCACUCACCAAGGAUGCUUUUUUCACCAAGGCAAUGAGAACACAAUUGUAAGAAACACAUUAUUGAAAAGUAUUGCAGUGGAGUCCUCUGUAGGCCAGGAGUGAAGGUAGAAAAUGCUGUUAUUGAAAUGGGCAUUUCGAUAUUAAUGGGUAUGUUGAGAUGCUGGCGUGGCAGAGGCCAAGUGGCAAUUCUUGAAUGCUGGACGCAGGGUGGAAACAGCUGGCAGCAGGAUUGGAGUGGCAAGCUGAUCUUUGUUGUAGGUUAAUUGGCCAUUGAGUUUCCAGGAAUGAGUAGAUGACUGGUCUGUCAGGAUCAAUAUAAUUAAAAAAAUACUGUAGAUCUGGAAAACAUAGGCCCAACUUCACCCAAUUUCUAGACGAAGUAGUUUAUAAAUGUAGGGCCAUUGAAUAAAAAGGAAGCCAGGAUCCUGAGAUCCUACUAAGAGAGUGUACUAUAAAUCUUCCUCCUAACCUUCCUCAAAGAAACUUGUAGCAAUUUAACAACUCAGUUCUGCGCUAGGGAAAGGGAAAAAUACCAAGACUUUUGAGGGCUUAUUGUAUUCUAAUUUUUAUUAACAUUAAUCCCCUGAGACCAAACAUAUCACUGUGGUUCUUUAAAAUUAACGAGUAGAAUUCCUGUCUGAGUUUAUCUCUCAGUGAUGUGAACCUAGAGGGUUUGUGAAGCCAUCUUGCGAUUAUUUUCUCAACUCCUGAAUGCAUAGUUGGAGUACAUAUUUCAGUACCUGGAGAAUUACCACAUAGGUUUUGGGGAGUAAAGGUUAUUAUUAACUGUCAAGGGUCAAGUGGAAGCUGCAAGUACCUCACCUAUAAAAAUAGUAACACCACCCCCUUCAAGAAAAAAUAGUACAACCUUAAGGAAAUAACAGAGAAAAGGCAGGGAUGAUGAUUUUUCUUGUUUGUAUUAAACUCAUGUAUUUGGUCUUUACAGAAAAACUAUGGGUCUUGGAGAUUGACAGUAGAUUACUGUAAACUUUCUCAGAUGGUGACUCCAAUUUUGCUGUUUCACAUGUCAAAUUAAUACAUAGUUUCUGGAACCUGGUAUGGAGCCAUAAAUUUGGCAAAUACAUUUUUUCCUGUUCUAGUUAGUACUGAUACUAGAAUCAGUUGUCUUUUACUUCACAGAGGUGUAGUACAUUAUCCCUAUCUUAUCUCUGAGCUGUGUCAGCUGCCAGGUUCUCAGUCACAUUUCAGUUUGCAGGGACAUUGAUCAUCACACCAUGCUAUAGAACAUCAUGCUGGUUCACUACAUUAAUGACAUUAUUCUAUUGGGCCUGGUGAAAGAAGCAGCAUGUACUCUUGGUAAGAUGUGUACAUGACAGAGGAUAUUUUAAAAAUCACAGGAACAUAAGGACCCAUCACUUUGGUAAAAUUGAUGGAAGGCCAGUGGCCUGGAGCAUUUUGGGAUACCCCAACCAAAAUGAAAGACCAGUUGCUUCACCUUUCACUGUGAAAGAGGCACAAACCUGGCAGAUCACUUUUGGCUUUAAGAGACAGUAUAUAUACCACAUUUGGAUAUGCUCCUUGGACCCAUUUACUGAGCAAUCUGUAUGGCUACCAACUUUGAGUAAGGCCCAAAGUAUUAAAAGGCUUUUCAGAUGGUCCAGAUUGCAGAGCAAGCAGUGCUACCACUUGGCCCUAAGAGCCCAGCUGAUCUCAUAGUGGCUGAAGUGUUUGUAUCAGAUGAGGAUGGUGCAUGGAACCUGUAGCAAGCCACUCUAGGAGAAUUACAGUGUAGUUCCCUGGGGUUGUGGAGCAAAGCCAGGCCCUAUUUGUCAGUUGACUAUUCUCCCUUUGAGAAACAGUCCUGGUUUGCUUUUCAUAAGCUGGCUGUUAGUUGGCUAACUAUGCUGCAAGAAUGGGUCUUCUCAUCCUUCAUUUUUCACUGUUAUGUGGUCUUGAAGACACAGUUCAUUGUAAUUGUAUGAGCCAGGAGGGGAGGCUCAUGCUGUUAGGACAUCACCCACUGCAUCACCCUCUUCCUCAAUCACCACCUUUAGGUUCCUUGGGAAGGCCCAAUGAACAAGCUAUCUGAAAAAGAAAAAAAAAAUCAAGCCCAGUUUGUGGAUGCACCUGCAUGACAUUCUUAUGUUAGUAGAAAGUCAACUGAUGUAGCAUUACAGCACCACUCAGCGGUGAUCCUGAAGUGGGGGAAAGAAAACCUGUCAGUGGGCAGAAAUUGUCAAUGUUGCCUGAACAUAAAGAUGUUCAGAGGUCCAGAUCAACACAGAUUUAUUGGUUAUGGCUAAUGGGCACUGGAUUAGCUAGUGUCCAGAUCAACACAGAUUUAUUGGUUAUGGCUAAUGGGCACUGGAUUAGCUGGGGAAAAGAAAUUUGGAAGGCAAAAGAUUGGAAUAUUGGUGGCAUGAAAGACUGCAGAAGACAUAUGUGACUAGAACUUACAGGAUGGGCACAGAAUAUGAGGAUAUGUGUAAACUAUACAUUUGUUCACAAUAACCAUGUAUUGAUGAGAAAUUGCUAAAAAUAAACUGGGCACAUUGACCUGUUUUGUGAAUGUCUGUAAGCCUCUUUCCCCAGUCUGAUGGAUUGUUUCCUCACAAUUAGACUCAGGGGAUGCACUUUUGGCAGGAAUACCACCCAAACUGAUGUUGUGUCUUUCUCAAUGGAAAACAUCAGUUUGCACAUGAUGUCAGUUUGUCUCAUUGGAUUGGAAUUUGAGAUUCCCAUUGAACAUUUUGGACAAAUUGUGCUGAUGAACCAACAGGCAAAAGAGGGGUCACUACUUUGUCAGCAGGGUGAUUAAUCCCAAUUAUCAAGGGGAAAUAGGAUUGCUGUUAUAUAACAGGACCAGGAAAGAGUAUUUUUGGAACCCAGGGGAUCUUGUGAGUCACCUCCAAGUAACGUCAUGCCCACUGGUAAAAGUUAUCUUAUAUUUGUAUUAUAUAUUUAAUUUACAUAUUUAAUAUGAACUUUUAAUGGAAGACUGCCGACAUCUAGUAUAAUCAGGAUUACCAGAGGCUCAGAGCCAUUAGGAAUGAAGAUUUGGGUGACUCCAUCAGAUAAGUAGCCUGGCUGAGCUAUGCUGCUGUCUGAGGUCAAAGUACCUCAUAAUCGGUUGUGGAGGAAAAAAAUUAUAAGUGCCAACUACAGCCUUGUGAUGAUAACUAGAACGAUCAUAAACACCGACAUUUUCUUCCUUUCUCUGUUAUGUAUAUUUUUAAUAUAUUAACCAUUUUCCACUUCUCACAAUUUCCCUCAUCCUCACAAUUUUAUAAAUGGCCUACUGACGUUGGUUAACUUUGUAAGGUAAUUUAUAUCUUGCGUAAUAUAAUAUAAAUGGAAUUUACGGUGGGGUUGUGACUAAACUAGAGAAGAAAUGAAUAUCACCCAAAGAUAGAGGAAGGGACUUAGAGGACUUUGGGUCUCUCCUUUUGAAGAAAAGUGAGUACUUUUUCUUUUUUUCGUGUAAGAGACAGUUAGGAACUUAGAAUACAGGCAGAAAGUAAGCACAUAAAUUGAAAAGUCAGAGGAACAGUCUAUGGAAUUUAUAGUGGAUUGGUGUUCAAUAUCCACUCAAGCUUUCUUCUAGAGUACUUGCUUCAACUACAAAAAUUAGAAAGUAAAAAAAUUACUUUCCCCAGACUCUCUUGCAGCUAAGGUUUUGGAUGGCAUUUAAGCUGAGCCAGUUAAACAUAUUUUUGCAAGAUCUGGAGAGCAGGAGUGAGGCGAAGGCUGUACUUUCGCUGCCCUGGCUUUUUUUUUUUUUUUUUCUGGAAAGCACAGUUAUGGAAGGUUUUUUUUUCUUCUUCUUUUCUUUUUUUUUGCAGCGUUAACAUAGAUACUAGCAUCUGAUAACCGAGUUGAUGAGCACUAAGAGGCUGGCCAUGGGCAUUGCUUCUGCUGGUGUGUGUCAUGGGAAGCAGGUGCAACUUCCUGAUAUGGGAGCUUUUGCAUUGUUGCAGCUUCCUCGUUGUAGUAGGGGCAGUAUGAUUCCAGUGUCAGCUGCUUCCUGAUCACACAAGAGGUAGAAGCUUGGAGGUAACAUUUCUACUUCAUGGCUUUUGUUCCUGAAAGGUUGAUUUGGAGGGUAUUUAUUUAACUCUUUCAAUGAUUCAGUAAGCCGUUUAAUAUCCUAUAAUAAAUAGAUUUUCCUGCCUAAACUAGCUACAGUGGAUUCAGUUCUUUGCAAGUAAACCCUGAUCAAUGUAGAGCUUUAGGGACCCAGUGUCCUGUGCCAACAUUUUAUAUGAGAAGCAGACAAGGCUCAAGUAUGGCUUCUCCAUUGUUGAUCAUAGUUAUGCCCUCUAUUAUUAUGGAGAGAAAUCUGUCAACAAUUAUAUGUCGGUUUCUAUCUUGUAUUGUUCUUUCAUCAGCCUUUGAUAGGAAACAGUUAUGGUCUGAAGAGCAUGAGACAGAAAACUGUCGAGACACUGAGAAGUUAAUGACAGUGCCUCUCAAACUCACCUGCAUGUUAGAAUUGUCAGGGGAGCUUUGAAAAUUCCUAAGUUUUGGGCAGUCUCCAGAACAAUUAAAUCAGACUUUCUGGGUCUGGGCCCCAGGAUUCAGUGUUUUGAAAAAUUCCCAAGGAAUUCCAAUGCGCAGCCAAGGUUGGAGAAGCACUGCCAUCUGGGAAGAGAGAGAGGUGAACUCUCCGGUUAUGUAUGAGUUGCAGUUGGGGAGAAAUAACAUGGUAAGGUAGUAAUUUACUAUUUUACAGCGAGAAAUUAAAAAUUGGGCUUAAAUUAGCACUCUGUUGGCAGAGCUGAUUUCCUCUCUGCAGACUCUAUAGGAGAAUCUGCUUUCUUGCCUCUUCUGAUUUCUAGAGGCUUCCUGCCAUUGUCAAAGCCAGCAAAGGCUGGUUGAGCCUUUCUGGCAAUGCCAUAUCUCUGGUUCUGACCUUCCUGCCUCCCUCUUCCACAUUUAAGGACCCCGUGAUUACAUUAGACCCACUGGGAAAACCCCAGAUAAUGUCCCCAUUUCAAAAUCAGUUGAUUAACAACUUAAUUUCACUUUCAGCUAGAAUCCCGUCUGGCCAUGUAACCUAACAUAUGCGUAGGUUCCAGGGUUAGGAUGUGGUUGUGUUUGGGGCGCCAUUAUUCUACUUAUCCUGAAAUAAUAAAGAACAGGGGCACUGGGGAAGAGGUACCCUAGUGGUUUCCUCCCACACAUUUUUUAGAUUGGAAGAGGCAAUUGGAGGGUUUAUAGCACUCAAAAAUCAUUAUGCUAUUAAUUCAGAUGUGACAGGAAGCCUGGUACAUGGUACAUUCAUACUUCUGUAAGAAGUAGGUUUAGCCAAGGCAGAAUGGAUUGCUAAGAAACUAGAUACAUUUGUGAUUUGUGCUUUGCCACUGUCACCUAUUUGCAAAGUUAUAUUUAAUGACUUGAAUCUUCUUUGCAGUCACCCGGAUGCCUGGUUAUGGAUGGCGGGAGAAUGCAAGUACACCAACCUUGCAGUUAGCUGAUCCGUAGCCUCAUGGUAGGGUCCAGGAGGGGCCUGCUGCACAUAGGUGGUCCUGCCAGCGAAUUGUUUUUCUUUUUUAAAGAGAGAUUGAAUAUUAACCAUUCUAAAUUGAAAAUUGUUCUUUAGGCAGAUGUCCUCCAAAAUGGAUUGCCUGCAUAUCUAGUACCCACCUGCUGCAAGCUUAUUCAUCUAGUUCCUCUGGGGGCACACUGGGCAGCUAAUUCAUCCAGGUGGAUUCACUGGAAGCUGUUGCUCAUGAGAGUAUUUCUGAGAUUUUUUUAUUCAUGUAUGUAUUUUUGCUGACCUUGCUGAAUGACUGGUAAGACUCAUUUAAGUAUUUUCCAUGCCAAGAGUAUCAGAGCCAUGAUCCAUGGUAUAGAAUGCCACAAGCUUAGCAUUCAUUUGUUGCCAUGCUGGAGCAGACUCUGUGUCUCCAGGAAAUUCCUGGUUUUGCUCACUGGGAACCCUGCAGAUGCUCACUUUGCCACUUGCUUUGCCACAAGCAUCUGAAUCUACCCUUAGCCAGCAUCUCAGACUCUCUACACACUGAGUUCUUGACUGGAAACUAGUAAUCUAUAUCUCCCUGGGGCCACACUAAAGGGGCAUGAGGGGCAGAGUUAAGUUGCAAUAAUAAGACCAAAGUUGGGUAUCUUCGGCUCACUGACUGUCUCUGUCCAGACUCUCAGGCCUUUCAGCCUCCCCUCUGUGUGCCCUGCCCUGCUGUCCUCCUGAUGAUUCCAGAGGCUCCUGCUGUUUCCUUCUCUCUGAUCCCCAGGUUGGCCUCCUGGGCUCUGGCUCCCAGGUUGCUGCUCAGGCUGCCUGGAUACUUCUCUCUCCAGCUAAAUUUCAGUCACAAUGGGCUUUUCUCAGUCUUGACUUUCUAUUUUUAUUGAUUUUGCCCCUGUUGCUGCUGACUCUUUAUUCUAAUAAAUAUUAGUAUUGCAUGUGUUCUUGUUGUAAAGCUCUUCAAAUUCUCCAUGGGACCAAUACAGGACACAAAUAAGCACACAAGAAUAUUAAUCUUGAUGUCCCUCUCUCCAGCAAAAGAUUGAUGAUGAACGUCAGCUGUUUAUUUUAAUCCAGCACAUUGAAAGGGCAGGGGUGAUGGUGCAGAUUUCACUCAUUUCACUAUGGCAAUCAAGGGGGUUCUUGGUUGCCGACCAUGAAAGGAAAGCUUUACCCAAUCAGACACACUUUCCAGAUAUUUCAGAUAGGUAAAUGGUCCAUGAAGCCAAUAAAACCUGAAUCGAAUCCCAGGGAUGAAGAGUAGGAAAAGAAAUCAUCACCUGGGUCUUUUAUUUUUGUAAAGAAAAGAAAAUAAAUAGAGCUAAUGGCAUUUCCACUGUUGGAAAAUGUUUUCUGACAUAAAUAAAAAGUAUAACAAUUUUAGCUCAAUUGGAGGCAUUAACAAUCAGAUAAAAAUGGUCAUUUUGGAUUAUGCAUCCAGGGUAGAAAUGAUCCUGUGGGAAACUUGUAAGACUUCCUGGCUGAUUGUUGCUCUCUCUUUUUCCCCUUCCUUUUCUCUCCCUCCUCACCUCUUACUGUGCAUUCUUUCUUCUAUCUUUUCCUCCCUGUGCCUACUACUGGGUGGAGUUUCCAUGUGGGCCCCACUGUUGUGCUAAGAAUAGCACUAGCUGCUAUUUUUCAAGCCUUUACCACUUGCCAGGCACUGUGCAGAGCACCCUAGAUACAUUACCUCACUUAUUGCACCCAACAGCCCUCCAGGAGGAUGGGCGUAUUUGUGUAAUGAACCCGGUCUUGACACAGUGUUUAAUUGCUUUGUUAUGCUCUUUGUCAGCACUCCAAAUAAUAAAGUUUAUUGGUAUUCUUACCUUUUUCAUGCUUGACUUAAAAUAUAUUGUAAAUAUCAUGUUGGCCACUGAAAAGAACUAGCAGGCAGGUUAUGGGGAAUUGGAGUUAUGCUUUAUUAUUAUUAUUUCUUAUCCUUUCCCUGAGCAGUAAUUACUGGUGGUAAAUGAAAGUUCUGGGAGCUGUUGUUUCAUAUUGAAAUUUAACUGCUUCCUUCCCCGCAGUAAAAUAGAUACUGGUGAGAUGGAGCCAGGAUGAGUAAGACCAUAAGAUGUAGGAAGGUGCUAAGCCUUGAACUCAGCUUCUCCUUAUCACCUCUAUAUUAAGCAUCAUUUUCAAUGCGUAAUUAUAUGAGAAAAUGAAAGUGCCAAGUCUCUACACUGUAUAUUCCCCAGGAAAGAACUUCCAGGUUGUCUCUGGAAGAUCCAACCUUUUCAGUGGGAAAUCAAGAGAGGAAGGUUGGUCAGUGGAGGCUGGGGUUUCUGUUUUGCAUUUUUCUUUCUCCUAGAGUGUACAUUACCUCCACUUUGCUCACUGUCCUAGUGAACUCACCUGUGUACAGAGUUCUCCAGAGUUCUUCUGCUUCCCAGGUGUGAUAAAGAAUCUUCAGGUGGAGAGGCAAUCCUGAAUUAUCCAGUGGGCCCUAAAUGUUACCAUAGUGCCAUCCUUCUAAGCAAGAAGCAGAAGAUCUGGGCAAUGUGACCAUGGAGGCAGAGACAGGAGUGAUGUGGCCGUAAGCCAAGGAUUGUCGGCAGCUGCCAGUGGCUGAAGGGGCAAGGAACAGAUUCUCCUCUGGAGCCUCUGGAGGGAGAAUGGCCCUGCUAAUACCUUGAUUUUGGCCCAGUGAUACUGAUUUUGGACUUCUGGCCUCUAGAACUGUGAGGGAAUAGAUUUCUGUUGCUUUAAGCCAUUGAAUUUAUGAUAAUUUAUUACAGCAGCCACAGAAAACUAAUGCAUGGAUCCAACUUGAACCUAGUGAGUUAGAUUACUUCAGAGAAACACAAUGAAUAGUUAACAGGGCUUGUUGGGAGUAUGGGAAGUGAGAUGAAAGUGUGAAGGCAACUUCUAUGGUUUUCUUUUAUAUUUCCCUAUUUUUCAAAUCUUUUACAAGGGAAUGAAUUCAUGUACUAUUUAAAAAGACAUAUAAAAUGUAAGCAAAAGGAUUUAUUGUAUCUCUUUAAAAUAAUUUAGAACAAGGAAUGGCUGCAGAACCUUAAAGGGUUUGUCUAGCAUGUUUCCAAGAUACAGUCUUGGUUAUUUGCAAUUGACAUGAAGGUGGCCCAGACUGUGCUGUAACACAGCACUUGAUACCAAAUGUUUGACUGCAAUGGACUGUGUGAAUCUUACCCAGUAUGACCAUUUUAUUAUCAAAUAAUCUAUUUAUUUCAGAUUUCUAACACGAAUACAAGCUUCUCCUUUCUUUCCUUCCUUUCUCUUUUUCUCGUUUCUACAGCAAGUUCAGGACUGUGCUAGGUAUGACCUGGGAUCGAAAGAGCAUAUACUCAGCUUUCGCCUUCAAGAAAAUUGGAUAUUGGCUUGGGAGAUAAGAUAAAUGAAAAGGAAGCAGAUGAUCUGUUAUAGAAAAGAUAACACUGUAAGCCCAACAUGAGUAACGCAUUUCUACUUAGAGGACAGCUAAGUGAAAAUGUACUCCUGAAACAAGAUUUGUUCUGCUGGCUUCCUUGAAUUUAUCAAAAAGACAAAAAUCUCACCAGCUUCACUUUGUAAUAAUGCCCUGAAAUUACCUGGCAUCAUCUUCCACCUACUUUUGUCUCUAUUAUUUAAUAUGAGUAGUAGGGAAGAAGAAAAUGAACACAUUCACAAUUUAAGGUUCUCCUUAUACAUGUAUUGUCAAAGCUAAUUGUUUUAAACAAGGUGUUUUAUCUUUGAUUAAAGUAAUCAGUGCCUAUGAGUAUAAAAGAAACGGUGGUAGUUUCAUGGUCUUUUUCAUAACAGAGUCCCAUACUUAACACUUUCAUGUGCUGACACUGAUAAUGAAGAUACAAGACCUGCCUUAAGCAAUAGUUAGCCUUCAAAAUAGAAAGGUGAAUGGUACAUUCAUUUCUGAAAUUCCUUGAGGUUUCUCCUUGCUCUACCCAGUUAGAAAGAGAAGCAUUUUUUUUUAAAUCCCCAUUGCAGAGAGGGAAACUGAGACCACCAGUCAAUCAAAGGAAAGAUUUUUACUUUCCCAAAACAAAUGGAUAUCAGCAAUGUCAAAUAUUCAACAUAACUUAUAAGCCUUCCCAGCACUACCUUCAAAGCACAUAGGGCAUCUCUUCAGGUCAGCCAUUUGCUCCUGACACAGACCUGAUGUCUACUGCUUGUGUAAUUGAUGGUAACAAUGGAUACUGAAAAUUCCCCAAAAUAAUUUUAUUGUUUUCAUUAAGUUGAUCAAGUAGAAAGGUGAAUACUAUUGUCAUCCCUGUCCUGACAAAGUGAUUAACGUUUUUGUCUCUGUGGAUUCCUCUUCCCUCCUUACUCUUUAUCCCUAUCAUGGGCAGACUCAUUUCAUGACAAUGUCAUUGCUACACAGCUCAAGUUCAGUCACCCAAGAUGGUCUCCUGGAGCAUACACAUGACAGGCAAGGGCAUUAGAGGUGAAAGAUGCCGAAGCAAUGGCAUUAGAAAUAUACAGAAGCAAUGGCAUUAGAGAUCAAAUAAAAACUUUCCAUAAACAUUGUGAAUGCCUUUUAGCUACAGUGGUUCUGAGGAAGGUACUUCUCAGAGGACAUUAAAAAAUAUGUAAAGGUGUUAUAUCUUUGGUUGUCACAGCAAUGAGGAUGAAAAGGUGGAAAAUGGGAAAGGGUGACAGGGAUGGCAGAGGGGUGAGGACCUAUCAGCAUCUGGUGUCAGAAGUCAGGGAUGUCAAAUGCCUGCAGUUUUCAGGACAAUCCCACCUUAUGAAUUGUCUCACCAAAAAUGCCAAUAACACCUGUACUGGGAAAGAAUGGAAGGGGAAGAGCACAGCACUCAAAUAGAUGUUAACAAUAGUCAUUUGGAAUUCACCAUUAUAUGUGUGUGUGUGUGUGUGUGUGUGUGUGUGUGUGAUUAAAUUUAUUUUUUUUUACUUUGUGCCAGGCCCUGGGGUACAAUGGUUUUAAAGACACCCACUUUUGCCCUAAAGAAGCAUACAGUUGGUGAGACAGAUCACAUUUUGCCAUGAUAGCAGUAACCCAGGAGGUCAAGGGGA